rnacentral:rRNA from 1 species
AACUAACCACGGUAACCUGUGGCUAAAAAUUUAGAAUAAGGCGCAGUCCUAUUAUGUUUGUUGGUAGUGUAAUGGACUCCCAAGGCAACAAUGGGUGACGGGAAAUCAGGGUUUGAUUCCGGAGAGGGAGCCUGAGAGAUGGCUCCCACGUCCAAGGACGGCAGCAGGCGCGAAAAUUGUCCACUUUUUUGAGAAGAGACAUUUAUUAGACGUGACUAAAAGAGCGUAGUUUAAAAAACUAUGUGUAAAGUUAUUGGAGGGUAAGUUUGGUGCCAGCAGCCGCGGUAAUUCCGACUCCAAGAGUGUUCAUGAUGGUUGUUGCAGUUAAAACGUCCGUAGCUGUAGAUGCAAUUAAAACACGAUGAUAAAAAUCGUAGAGUUUGCUAAAUAUUGCUAGCGGAAUGGAUAGGGAACGUGGUAUAGGUAGACAAAGAAUGAAAUCUCUAGACUCUACCUGGACCAACAGAGGCGAAAGCGACGUUCUUAGACGUAUCCGAGGGUCAAGGACUAAGGCUGGAGUAUUGAAAGUGAUUAGAUACCGCUGUAAUUCUAGCAGUAAACUAUGCCGACAAUUUUUAGUGACUUUUUAAAAAGUUUGCUGGGAAUAAGAGAAAUCAAGUUUUCGGGCUCUGGGGAUAGUACAGCCGCAAGACUGAAACUUAAACGAUAUUGGCGGAAGUUUACCACCAGUAGUGGAUUAUGCCGCUUAAUUUAACUCAACGCGGGAAAACUUACCAGGGUCAAGUUUAUCGUAGAUUGAUUACAUGAGAUAAACGAGAGUGGUGCAUGGCCGUUGUAAAUUGAUGGAAUGAUCUUUAACUUAAGUGUUGGAAUCAGUGAGAUCUAUGAGACAGGUGCUUUUUAAGUACAGGAAGGUGUAGACGAUAACAGGUCCGUAAUGCCCUCAGAUAUCCUGGGCAGCAAGCGUAAUACAAUAUCACUUAAAAAAAUAAAGAAAUUUGUGAUAAGCAGGAUUAGCUUUUGUAAAUAAGCUAUGAACGAGGAAUUACUAGUAACGGUGCCUCAUCAAGGCAUGGUGAAUG